rnacentral:misc_RNA from 1 species
CCUCAAGCACACAGGUUUAGUUGUCACUUGCUGCCUCAUGGGGUGAUCCAUCUAACUUGUGUCAGCUCCUCUUGGCUCUGCCCUUAGGGUCCACUUGAAUCUGGCUCAUAUUUGGCUUAAAUCGCAGAUCUAGCUCCUUUAGGCUCAUCCAAUGCUUUUGGGUCCUAGAUCUAUGGCCGUUGGGCCUCACCACUCUAAUACCAUGUUGAUAAUUGCAGGCUCAGAAUUUUAGAUCAACAAAUAUACUGACCUCCAUGCUUGGGCUGAAAACUUGGGUUUACCGUCACCAAAAUGGCCCAAUCCAUUUUGGUUUGGCUUGCCUUACUUUACAUGCCUUUCAUAUUUUCUUAGCCCAUAUCAGAGAAUACAUAGAAUGUGACAUUGCCAUUUUGGUUUGGUUUGCCUUACUUAUAUGUCUUUCAUAUUUUCUUAGCCUAUAUUAGAGAAUAAAUAGAAAGUGACACUAUUUAUCAUUUUAUUGGUGUUCCAAAGAUUACUAACUCGGGACAUCAUACAUGGCUUCUAAAGAAAAAUUUGUGUUUGUGGUUUUUGGGGAACUUGGAA